rnacentral:rRNA from 1 species
UACGAAGGGGGCUAGCGUUGCUCGGAAUCACUGGGCGUAAAGCGCACGUAGGCGGAUUGCUAAGUCAGGGGUGAAAUCCUGGAGCUCAACUCCAGAACUGCCUUUGAUACUGGCGACCUUGAGUCCGGGAGAGGUGAGUGGAACUGCGAGUGUAGAGGUGAAAUUCGUAGAUAUUCGCAAGAACACCAGUGGCGAAGGCGGCUCUCUGGGACGGUACUGACGCUGAGACGCGAAAGCGUGGGGAGCGAACGAG